rnacentral:rRNA from 1 species
AAUAGAUACCCAGGUAGUCCACGCCGUAAACUAUGGAUGCUAGCUGUAUCCGGUAUCGACCCCGGAUGUAGCGAAGCUAACGCGUUAAGCAUCCCGCCUGUGGAGUACGGUCGCAAGACUAAAACAUAAAGGAAUUGACGGGGACCCGCACAAGCGGUGGAGCGUGUUGUUUAAUUCGACGGUAAGCGAAGAACCUUACCCAGGCUUGACAUCCCUUGAAUUUUGUCGAAAGACGAGAGUGCUUUAUUGAACAAGGUGACAGGUGAUGCAUGGCCGUCGUCAGCUCGUGUCGUGAGAUGUUUGGUUAAGUCCAUCAACGAGCGCAACCCUUGUAACUAGUUGGAUUUUUCUAGUUAGACUGCCCUGGUAACAGGGAGGAAGGAGGGGAUGAUGUCAGGUCAGUAUUUCCCUUACGUCUGGGGCUACAAACACGCUACAAUGGCCGGUACAAAGGGCAGCCAAGUCGCAAGACGGAGCAAAUCCCAUCAAAGCCGGUCCCAGUUCGGAUAGCAGGCUGAAACUCGCCUGCUUGAAGUCGGAAUCG